UUCACAUGAAACCCAACACCAGAGUUUCUAGGACAGCCUCCUCAUUGAUAAAGUGUUCCCUGACUUCUCAAUGAGCUUGUACACUGUAGCUGCAGCGAUAAUGGGCUAUAUCUGGCCGGCCCGGAAUCCUGCCCAUGUUCCAGUCAGUGCCCUGGCUAUCAGUUGUCUGCUGAGCAUGAAUGGCCAGAGGCAGAAAAAGGACAAGGAGCCAUGCUGGUGAGAAGUGGAAGUGAUUAACUUAUGUCGCAUGCUCCAGCGUGAGUUGCAGCCAGCGAUAGGCAAAUGUAUGUUGACAGCUGCCUUGGAGUUCACACCACACCGUCAGCACCCUACAGGAAACAGAUUACUCCAGGGCUCGAGAGCUCGUUGACAGCUGGAGCUUUCUGAUAAAGUUGUCAGAAAGUGAAAAGGACAGUCCCAGGAAAUUGUAAGUUUCCUGGUUUCAGGGCCUGCAA